AUGCAAUUUGAGAUGAGAAGUCACAGGAAGAUCCCAAAUGUGUCCAAUCCGUAUGUAUAUGAACACCUAUACAUAGAAGAUGGACCGAAGAACGAAGAAGCCCGUUUCCUGCAGGGCACUGUAUCUGGUCCAACAGAGUCAUCAUAAAAUUCUAACCUGAAUGUUGUAUGUACAGGAUAUUAGCUCUGUGGCCUUCUAUUUGGUCUCCUUUUUUUUUUUUUUUUUUUUUUAACACCUUUAUGUUCUUUAAAUAGCCAGGCCAUAGUUUGGAAUGUUCAUAAGGCAUGUAAAUAAUAGGUUUCCCCCACACACACACACAAUUGAGGAUGGAAUUUGCAUGUCUUUAAGAUUAUUUAAAGGGUUUCACUAGGUUACUGGGACAUUCAAAUUAAAAAAAAAAAAAAACUUCUGGCACCGUGACAUGUCCUGAUCCUCUGGAGUUACAUUCCAGGGGUCUGAAAUUUUACCUUCCUAUUCUCUGCGCUCUGUGAAACCAAGAGUGCUUGCUUCUGCUUCACAGCAGCAGAGACAAUGAUUAAUAAUCUGUGAUUAACAUUCCACUGGUCUGAGAGUAAGGGGGACAGAGUUGAAUCCCAUUUCUGCCUGCAGCUAAUUUUGCAGCUUUAAGAUCCUCAUUUAAAUUUUAUUGGCUCCAGUUUUAAAAAAUUACAAACCAGUGUAGUUUGACUAGAUGACCUUGAUGCCUCCAAAGCAUGAUGCUAUUCUUUUAACUUAUUGAGAAUUGCCUCUUCCUUGAGUGAAUUGACUCCAAAUACCUAGAUUUUUUUCUAUAAGUUAUAUACCUGCUGCCUAUCUGGAGUUGGGUGAAUUUGUUUUGCUAUUAACAUAAUUAAAGUAUUGAAUAGCGUGAUUAAAGUAUGGUAGCAAUAUAUUGUCCACUACAUUUAAAAAAGAACUCGGGCAAUCCCAGGGGUGCAGCGGUUUAGCGCUGCCUGCAGCCCGGGAUGUGAUCCUGAAGACCUGGGAUUGAGUCUGACCUUGGGCACCCUGCAUGGAGCCUGCUUCUCCCUCUGCC
rnacentral:lncRNA from 12 species